UCCUACGGGAGGCAGCAGUAGGGAAUCUUCCACAAUGGGCGAAAGCCUGAUGGAGCAACGCCGCGUGGGUGAAGAAGGUCUUCGGAUCGUAAAACCCUGUUGUUAGAGAAGAAAGUGCGUGAGAGUAACUGUUCACGUUUCGACGGUAUCUAACCAGAAAGCCACAGCUAACUACGUGCCAGCAGCCGCGGUAAUGCGUAGGUGGCAAGCGUUAUCCGGAUUUAUUGGGCGUAAAGGGAACGCAGGCGGUCUUUUAAGUCUGAUGUGAAAGCCUUCGGCUUAACCUGAGACGUGCAUUGGAAACU
rnacentral:rRNA from 1 species